ACGGAGGGGGCUAGCGUUGUUCGGAAUUACUGGGCGUAAAGCGCACGUAGGCGGCUUUGUAAGUUAGAGGUGAAAGCCCGGAGCUCAACUCCGGAACUGCCUUUAAGACUGCAUCGCUAGAACGUUGGAGAGGUAAGUGGAAUUCCGAGUGUAGAGGUGAAAUUCGUAGAUAUUCGGAAGAACACCAGUGGCGAAGGCGGCUCACUGGUCCGGUACUGACGCUGAGGUGCGAAAGCGUGGGGAGCAAACAGGA
rnacentral:rRNA from 1 species